rnacentral:lncRNA from 1 species
GGACUUGAGAGUUCUUGUCCACAGUUGCUCAACUCUGUCCAGGCUGCGCAGUAAAUUAGAGCAGGAGCAGGUCGUGCGGCGGAAGAAGGAUCUAGCAGAAGGUGCCUGACUGUGGGGCGUUGCAGAAGAUCAGACCCCUGGGAGCCCCGGCCCAGCUUAAACCUGCUGUGGCGACUGAAGACCAGGAUCAGAGCCAGGUUUGAGGAAAUGUGACGCCUCCCGGUACAGUAGGCUGAAUGACGUUUAUGUCCUAAUCCCCGAACCUACAAUCUCCUCCAACAGUUCUGGGCUGCAGCCGUGUAAAGCAAAGAGCAGGAACACAAAACAAACAUUGUCUGAAAAUUCCCUGAGUGAGGCAUUUUAAAAGGAAUAAUGAAGAUGAAGAUUAGCCCUGAGCGAAUAUCUGCUGCCAAUCCUCUUUUUGCUGAGGAAGACUGGCCCUGAGCUAAUAUCCGUGCCCAUCUUCCUCUACUUUAUAUGUGGGAUGACUGCCACAGCAUGGCUUGUCAAGUGGUGCCGUUUCCACACCUGGGGUCCGAACUGGCGAACCCUGGGCCACCGAAGCAUAACGUACGCACUUAACCGCUGUGCCACUGUCUGGCCCCAGGUGUCCUACUCUUAGGAACCGUCUGGCCUCUGGAGGCUUGCAGCUAAAGAUGCUGGCUAUCAGGCUGUCUGGAUUUGCACCCUGGCUCUGCAACAUCCUAGCUUCCUUCUUCAGUAAUGAUGUAACCUCACUAAAUAUUUCCUCUUUCUUAUGAGGGGAAUGAUAAUAAUAUCCUUCUCACAGGGCUGUCAUGGAAGUAAUCGAGAUACUGUAUGUGAAAUGCGUGCUUUAUGCCUGCUACCUGUUAUGGC